AUCAAACAAUGUAGAAAUUAGGACAGUAUUCCACUCUUACUUAUUUAAAAUAUGUAAUUUGAAUAAUGCAUUCCCAAACAAGUUUGAAAAUAUAUAAUUAUAAAUAAUCAAAUAUCGAUGAUAUAUCAAUAUUUUCAUAGUAGGUUUAUCGAUAGUGGGUUUAUUGAUGGGAAGGCGGUUGUUGGUCAUUGUCAAUGCCGAGGGAAUUUAGAUCGUAACGGUUUUUUUUGUGUCUGUUGUUUUGUGAUUUUUGUGAAAGAUCAGGUUUAAGGAGGCUAAGGCUGUUAAACAAUUGAAAAAAAGAGGCAAUGAAUUCAACACAAAAGAACUUUUGAAUUUGACAACACAGACCAAGAGGAAAAGUUUCAAAAGAAGCCUGUUUGUAAAAAGUGAUGAUGAUGUCUGCGAGAGUGAAGAUAAACUGAUCCUUGCAGGAAAUGUCAAAAGUGGGAAAGCUGGAGAUUCCCAGUUCACUAAAAAUUUAUGCUCAUUGUUGUGGGAUCCAGAAGUCCUCGAAAAAAGAAGCAUGACUGGACGAAAAUCGAACGUCCACAAGGACUUCCAAGCAAAAACAAUGUUGACACCCCAAAAAAUGGAUAGUUUAAGAAAAAUGUUCAAACGACGGAUCCUCGAGGAGAAUCCGAAUGCUUCGAGAAGUGAGAUGGAAUUAAGAUGCGCUAGCAUUAACCAGUACGUUUCUCAAAAGAUCGCAACCCUAAACAGAAAAAGCUUCAAAUCUCCUGGAGCACACCCAGAUAAGGACAUAUUAAUUCAUGAAUAAUAUAUAUGUACUGUAAUGUUUCUUCAUAAAUAAUAUAAUAAUAUAUGAGCUACUUUAAUAAACAAUUUUGCAUUUUA